AAAGACAUCUCAAGGAUUAUUUCAUUCCUUUUCAAAUUUCCUUCAAUGUAAAAAUAAAGACCUGUCACCAAACAAUGAUACUGACUUGAGCCUGAGACAAAGGGACAAGUCCCCAAGUGAGGGAAGCUAUAAGGGGCUGGUACUGGCCUUCCUUCCCAAUGCCCACAGCACCCCGGGCUGCUCCGAGGGUCGCUGGGGAAGUGCACCCUCCUCCUCGCCAAGGCCGUACAAGAGGCCUCCUCACAGAAAAUACAAAGCCUGAUGUUCUUCGUGCCUCUCUGCAAAGCCUAUUCAUAGGGCUCAGAGCCCUGGCCAAAAAGUGAGCAAGUCUCAGUCCCUAUCUGGCAGGACUCGCAGACAGCUCAGAUGAAGGCCAGACACUGUCCCUGCCAGACACAGCUUAGAGAUUUCCUCGCAUCGAGUAAUAAAAAAGACAACUAACAUCUGAAAGGCACUUUGCCUUGUCACAGCCUGACAUACUGGAGCCUCACAAUGACCCCAUGACAUCACAUGACUGUCAUUUUCCCAUACUGUCACAACCAGAGAACCCAAGAAGCUAGGCAGGAGCAGGCAUGAGGAGGCCUGGCCGCGGUCCAUGCCGCAGGCCGGGCGCGCACACCUCACGCAUGCUCCCUCCUUCCUUGUUCUAUGAACUUCAGACACCUGAAAUGUGGGCUCCUGGUGCCAAAGGGGCCAUCAGAAAGGACAGAGAAGGGUGCCCGUGAGAAGGGGCACAGCACUCACGUCAGGGAAGGACUGUGGGGGGGCGGGGAUGGAAAUGCAGAACGCACACAGAUAUGCAGAGCACAGAGACGGCGAGUGGGGCAGAGGGGCGCACUCUGCACAAAAAUGGAACAGCCAAUCUGGAGCAGUGGCUCACACUUGUCAUCCCAGCGACUCUGGGAGGCUGAGAUUCAGAUGGCAACAUGGUCCAGUAACAGAAGACUUUUUAUGGAACCUUUCCCAGGAGACCCGAUUCCGUAAGGGGAGCAGGUGGCCCUGGUCGCUGGAAGGAAAGGUGACCACAGACCCAGCGCCUCAGGAACAUCCCCCGCACUCACGGCUAAGCCUGUCCCCAGGGAAAUCCUGAGAAAUGGAAUUUCUCCUGGAUCAUGGUGGCAGAGGGGUGGCUGGAGCUCGUGUCCUGUGUUCAGGACCUGCUCCUGAGGCUAAACAGGUUGGGAGAACUUUCACCUGGCAGAGCCUCAAGCGCACCUGGCACCCAACAUGGAGCAAACACAAAGCAUUUAGAAUCUCAGUGAACACAGGCCUCUGAUGCAGGAAACCACCAGGUUCCCCAGUUCCACCAAGGAAGACGCAUCGGUUCCCUGUGAAAACAUCUGUGACUUUAUGUACGAAUAAAACUUAUGUAACUUUA
rnacentral:lncRNA from 1 species